rnacentral:rRNA from 1 species
UUAGGGCAAGUCUGGUGCCAGCAGCCGCGGUAAUUCCAGCUCCAAUAGCGUAUAUUAAAGUUGUUGCAGUUAAAAAGCUCGUAGUUGAAUUUCGGGAUCAAUGUUUCGGUCAUGCCGUUGGUAUGUACUGAUAUUAUUGGUUUCUCACCUUCUAAAGAACCGUAAUGCCAUUAAUUUGGUGUCACGGGGAAUUAGGACUGUUACCUUGAAAAAAUUAGAGUGUUUAAAGCAGGCUCACGCUUGAAUACAUUAGCAUGGAAUAAUGAAAUAGGACAUCCGAUUCUAUUUUGUUGGUUUCUAGGAUCGAUGUAAUGAUUAAUAGGGAUAGUUGGGGGCAUUAGUAUUCAAUUGUCAGAGGUGAAAUUCUUGGAUUUAUUGAAGACUAACUACUGCGAAAGCAUUUGCCAAGGAUGUUUUCAUUAAUCAAGAACGAAAGUUAGGGGAUCGAAGACGAUCAGAUACCGUCGUAGUCUUAACCAUAAACUAUGCCGACUAGGGAUCGGAUGAUGUUAAUUUUUUAAUGACUCAUUCGGCGCCUUACGGGAAAC